rnacentral:rRNA from 1 species
CGUUUUGAACUGGCAGUCUAGAGUGCGUCAGAGGGGGGUGGAAUUCCACGUGUAGCAGUGAAAUGCGUAGAGAUGUGGAGGAACACCGAUGGCGAAGGCAGCCCCCUGGGAUGACACUGACGCUCAUGUACGAAAGCGUGGGUAGCAAACAGGAUUAGAUACCCUGGUAGUCCACGCCCUAAACGAUGUCAACUGGUUGUUGGGGGAGUGAAAUCCCUUAGUAACGAAGCUAACGCGUGAAGUUGACCGCCUGGGGAGUACGGUCGCAAGAUUAAAACUCAAAGGAAUUGACGGGGACCCGCACAAGCGGUGGAUGAUGUGGAUUAAUUCGAUGCAACGCGAAAAACCUUACCUACCCUUGACAUGUCCGGAAUCCUGCAGAGAUGCGGGAGUGCUCGAAAGAGAACCGGAACACAGGUGCUGCAUGGCUGUCGUCAGCUCGUGUCGUGAGAUGUUGGGUUAAGUCCCGCAACGAGCGCAACCCUUAUCAUUAGUUGCUACGCAAGGGCACUCUAAUGAGACUGCCGGUGACAAACCGGAGGAAGGUGGGGAUGACGUCAAGUCCUCAUGGCCCUUAUGGGUAGGGCUUCACACGUCAUACAAUGGUCGGUACAGAGGGUUGCCAAGCCGCGAGGUGGAGCCAAUCCCAGAAAGCCGAUCGUAGUCCGGAUUGUUCUCUGCAACUCGAGAGCAUGAAGUCGGAAUCGCUAGUAAUCGCGGAUCAGCAUGUCGCGGUGAUACGUUCCCGGGUCUUGUACACACCGCCCGUCACACCAUGGGAGUGGAAUC